UUUACGCUUUAUAGUUUCAUCAAUCUCUCUUCCUUAUUCUUCUUCUUGAACAUCAAGCGAUGGUACAAUUCUGUGUUUUUCUUAACAUUGUGUGUUUUUCUUCACUUAGGAGAAUGUGAUGCACAACUCUGCGAACCCUAUAUUCGAGCUCAUCCGUCAUGAAAACGUUAUUAAGCUUCUCCUAGUGGAGGUGGAUCAGAUCAACCAUCGAGAGGUCAUGGUCGCACCUAGAUCUUGUAGAGGUGACAAAGGUUAACCGCAUAAUCGAGAGGGAGCAAAGGUCAUUGUUCGGGAAGAAAAACCCUAGAACGGUGAUUGUGAUGACACCAAUGUACGAUCACACGUUCCAUAAGCUACACUUGACUGAUUUUAUACACACACUGAUGUUGGUGAUGUACGAUCUUGUGUGAAUCGUGUUAGAGGUUGAUAGUCACCGACAAAACUGCUUCGAUUAUUGCCGAGUUUGGUCUUAGAACAAUCCACUUUGGCUUUUCUCAAAGAAUGCUAAAUUUGUGGAAUGCUAGGCUGAAACUUGAGUCUCACACUUUAUGAUUUCAGGCCUUGAAGCUUGUUAUUUUGGAAUGUAAACCUAAAAACAAUGGUUAAGAUCGUGGACGUAUGUGAGAAAGGGGAUUCAUAUACGAGAGAGCAAACUAGAAAUGUUACAAAAAUUUGAAGAGGAAGAUUGAGAUAAGAGUUGUUUUUCUCACAUGUAUAUCAGUAAACAAUGUAGUUCAUUAUUUCUCUCCACUAGCUAGUGCGGAGGCAAUGUUGGAAGAAGGUGAUAUAUUGAAAAUGUUUGCCUAAAAUUUGUCUACUUAGCAAUAGGCAUUGGCGUGGCUGCUUUCCUCUAUAAGUGACUUGCUGGAUGGUCACAAGGGAAAGACAGGCUACAAGAAUAAGGGGCUUGUAUUUGAAAGCUAUACUAAGACAAGUAAUGCUUUCUUUGAUAUGGAAACUAACACUAGAGAGGUGAUAGAGAGGAUGUCAGGUGACACUGUUCUCAUAAACUAUACAGUGUUAUACAAAUUAAUUGUUAGCUUAGUGGCAAGAGUAUUGGAAUUCUUGCACACAAUUAUGGUGUUUAUUGCAUCACGAUUAUCAUCAUUCAACAUCAGAAUUAUUUCUGAUAGUGUGUGUACAUUCUUUUACUAAAUUAAAAUUAAUAUUUGGACUUCACCUUUGAGGAUUGCUUUCCUAUUUUGAAGUUUCUUGCUACAGUUUCACAUGAGAUAAGGACUCCAAUGAACGAUGUUUUAGGUAAGUGAUAGGGGAGGGAAAGAGAAGAACUUUUGUUGAGUGGGAUGACCCAGAUAAUACCUCAGAAUCCUACAUUUGUAGCCAUGGCUUACAAUGUUGUUGGAAAUCCAUGAGCUUUAGGGUAAGAAUGUUCUAUCUACUGUUUCAUUUUUGCUAUUUUUAGGUCAAAUUAAUAUUAAUUAUUGCCUCUUUAUUUUAUUUUUCCAUAAUUAAAUUAUUCCUUUGCCUUUAAAUUUUAAUGUAGUUGUUUAUGAUUUUUAGAAAUAUUAAUUAUUACCUCAUCAUUUCAUUUGUUUUUGUCGUUGUUUGCUUGAAUGUGCAACCCAAUAUUUCAAUACUAAUUAUUUAUUUUUCAAAAUUCUAUUGGAACCAAGUUUAAACCAGGCAUUAUGAAGGUUCGGCUUGAGUCUGUAAUAAAUUGCUUGUAUGUUAAUAUUCCAAGACAAUGCAGAACUUGUGGUCUCAGAUUCAUAGGCCAAGAGAAAAGGUAUAUUUUUAGAAUGCUAGUAAUAAAUUCUCUUUUCAAUACACUAGGUGAAUAUGCUUGUUUAUUCUUUUGUUUAUUUAUAUGGCAAACAAAGAGUAAAGCAGAAGGCAAAUCAUAUGAUAAGCCCAACAUAGUUAGUGGGGCUAAUGUGUAGGUAGGUCUCAAAGUGUGUUUGAUGCUAUAAUGCUCUUUGAUCAACUUCUAAGUUUUCUCAGUAACCCUUAAAACUUUGUACAUAUUGGGUUCUCUUUAACGGAAGUCAUGUAACAAUAAUAAUGUAAAAAGUCUCUAAUUCUGUUUUCCGAUAUCCAUAACUAGUUCUCUGAUUUUGUUAAUAUUCAUAUGGGAUUGGUCUAGUCAGUGUUAUUUGUUGAUCUUACAGAGUUGGUGUAAGUAUGGAUUUAUUUUUACUUAUUGCUUCAUUGCUAUCCUUUUUUUUUUUCACAUGAUUUCAAUUUUUUAGUUAAGAACUUGUAUACAUAUUAGGUACUAAGGAAUGUAGUUGGAGUGUAAGCUUGGAAUAAGGGCACAUCUUAUGCAAAUUUAAUUCCUCGAUGUUUCUAUCUUUUACUAAUUGAUGUAUUCCUCUUACUUUGUGUCCUUAUAUUAUGUAUGUUAUUCUUUAUCACAAAACCAUGUUAUAUGCUGAUUGAAGAUAUUUCAGUCCUUGUGUAGCAACAUUGACUCUAAUAAUAUCUU